CCCAGCAGGGUUUGAGAAACUUUACAGUUCACCUUUUUGCCACCUUAGACUUCUUUAGUAAAUUAUAGCUCCAUCUAGCGGUGUUAAGUUGUAUUACACCUUGUUUUCUAGUUAAAGAAUAAUGCAUUGUGGGUGAUUGCAAGGCAUUCUGGGAGGGAGGAGCCUCCAUUUUACAGUCUUCAGUCACCAGGACUCAUCAUCAGAGCUGUCUCUGUAUGUCUCCUUCCAAAACUCCACCAUCUGUGUAAUAGCAUAUCUGUUUUACCACAUCACAUUACAUGUACGUGCACACGCUUACGUACUAAAAUCCUGUUUUGCCAUAUAUACUCAACAACCUGUUCACCAAUAAACAAGUUAAACUACAAAGAACAGUCCUCUUAUUUGGAAGACAGGAAUGGUUUAUACUGAAUGUCAGACUGCACACUGUGUGAACGUGUAAGAAGACAGAACAGUAAAACAGAUUGCUAGUCACCAGCGAUAGUGGAUCUGACUGUACGGAGCCGCCAUCAGCAACGCAGUCCUAUGUACAAGAUUGCAGCGGCGGCCAUACAGUCACAAGAAGCGAGAGUGCAGCCCCAGCAAGCGCGACACGAUCCAAACCACGUUGAAGUCCGUUCCUAGUCCUACCUAGACUGAGUCUGCACAGAGACAUUAAGCAGCCAGCAAACAGGCACACCAUGUCCACUAGCAAGGCAUCAACAUACGGGACAAGGUCACGAGCAAGCCGCUCUAGCAAGUCAUCAAUAAAAGAAA